UAGAAUAUGCGCUGCCGUUUAG
rnacentral:miRNA from 1 species